GAUGAACGCUGGCGGCGUGCCUAAUACAUGCCAGUCGAGCGAACAGACGAGGAGCUUGCUCCUCUGACGUUAGCGGCGGACGGGUGAGUAAAACGUGGAUAACCUACCUAUAAGACUGGGAUAACUUCGGGAAACCGGAGCUAAUACCGGAUAAUAUAUUGAACCGCAUGGUUCAAUAGUGAAAGACGGUUUUGCUGUCACUUAUAGAUGGAUCCGCGCCGCAUUAGCUAGUUGGUAAGGUAACGGCUUACCAAGGCAACGAUGCGUAGCCGACCUGAGAGGGUGAUCGGCCACACUGGAUCUGAGACACGGUCCAGACUCCUACGGGAGGCAGCAGUAGGGAAUCUUCCGCAAUGGGCGAAAGCCUGACGGAGCAACGCCGCGUGAGUGAUGAAGGUCUUCGGAUCGUAAAACUCUGUUAUUAGGGAAGAACAAAUGUGUAAGUAACUAUGCACGUCUUGACGGUACCUAAUCAGAAAGCCACGGCUAACUACGUG
rnacentral:rRNA from 1 species